rnacentral:rRNA from 1 species
UACGUAGGGCGCAAGCGUUAUCCGGAAUUAUUGGGCGUAAAGAGCUCGUAGGCGGUUUGUCGCGUCUGCCGUGAAAGUCCGGGGCUCAACUCCGGAUCUGCGGUGGGUACGGGCAGACUAGAGUGAUGUAGGGGAGAUCGGAAUUCCUGGUGUAGCGGUGAAAUGCGCAGAUAUCAGGAGGAACACCGGUGGCGAAGGCGGAUCUCUGGGCCGUAACUGACGCUGAGGAGCGAAAGCAUGGGGAGCGAACAGG